CUUGGGCCUCCCUUCUUCUUUGCUUUCUUGCUGGCUAGCUUCUGUCUAGUCUUGUGCAUGUCCACCUCCUACUCCAGCUUCUUGGCACCAGUAAUGGAUUAUCCUGCAAACCCUAACCCUAAUCCUCCUCUUCCUCCUCAUCAGCAUCAGUAUUUUCACCAGAAUAUCCUUGAUCCUUUUCCGGCUGAGUUUCAGUUAUCGGAUUAUCUCAUGCUUGAUGCUGAUAUUAUUGAUGGGUUUGCUGAUGAUUCCACCACGUCUGAGCAUAGUAUGGUCUCAUCGGAGCAGUUUGUUAGUGUU
rnacentral:misc_RNA from 1 species